AUACGGAGGGGGCAAGCGUUGUUCGGAAUUACUGGGCGUAAAGCGCGCGUAGGCGGGCUGGUUAGUUGGGGGUGAAAUCCCAGGGCUUAACCCUGGAACUGCCUCCAAUACUGCCAGUCUUGAGUUCGAGAGAGGUAAGCGGAAUUCCUAGUGUAGAGGUGAAAUUCGUAGAUAUUAGGAAGAACACCAGUGGCGAAGGCGGCUUACUGGCUCGAUACUGACGCUGAGGCGCGAAAGCGUGGGGAGCAAACAGGAUUAGAUACCCCUGUAGUCC
rnacentral:rRNA from 1 species